rnacentral:rRNA from 1 species
AUUGAACGCUGGCGGCAGGCCUAACACAUGCAAGUCGAGCGGAUGAAGGGAGCUUGCUCCUGGAUUCAGCGGCGGACGGGUGAGUAAUGCCUAGGAAUCUGCCUGGUAGUGGGGGAUAACGUCCGGAAACGGGCGCUAAUACCGCAUACGUCCUGAGGGAGAAAGUGGGGGAUCUUCGGACCUCACGCUAUCAGAUGAGCCUAGGUCGGAUUAGCUAGUUGGUGGGGUAAAGGCCUACCAAGGCGACGAUCCGUAACUGGUCUGAGAGGAUGAUCAGUCACCCUGGAAACUGGAAAAGGUCCCGGACCCCAAGGGGGGGCGGCGGGGGGAAUAUUGGACAAUGGGCGAAAGCCUGAUCCAGCCAUGCCGCGUGUGUGAAGAAGGUCUUCGGAUUGUAAAGCACUUUAAGUUGGGAGGAAGGGCAGUAAGUUAAUACCUUGCUGUUUUGACGUUACCAACAGAAUAAGCACCGGCUAACUUCGUG